UACGUAGGGGGCUAGCGUUGUCCGGAUUUAUUGGGCGUAAAGAGCGUGUAGGCGGCCAAGUAGGUCCGGUGUGAAAACUCGAGGCUUAACCUCGAGAUGUCAUCGGAAACCAUUUGGCUAGAGUCCGGAAGAGGAAAGUGGAAUUCCAGGUGUAACGGUGAAAUGCGUAGAUAUCUGGAGGAACACCGGUGGCGAAGGCGACAUCCUGGGCCGGUAUUGACGCUGAGGCGCGAAAGCCAGGGGAGCAAACGGG
rnacentral:rRNA from 1 species